ACAUGCCUACAACAUAGUGUUAAUGCACCAUAUCCCAUUAUAACUUCGCAGUUAAAAAUACUUAAGCUAGAGUAGUACUAGGAUGUGUGACCACUCUAGAAGUCCUAGUGUUUUACAUGCC
rfam:Picea glauca, whole genome shotgun sequence.